rnacentral:sRNA from 1 species
ACUCUGCUCAUAAUAGUUCUCAAAAUUCCUAGGACUGGAUAGGAAAGGAGAGAAGAAGGAAGCUAUUGCAGAAAAAGGCCACUCCAAAGCCAUAUAGAGAACAAAAAAUAAGUAUAGACAAAGGCAAAUGUUCCUGCUGUUAGAAGGCAGUUGAGGAUGAGGACAACAUUAUUAUCAGACUGCCUUUAUUGUAGCUAAAUGCUAUUAAUAUCUUUUUCACAUUGCUGAUAAUAAUGAUUUUUCAUCUUUAUUUUAUUGUGCUAACUCUAUUGAACUUUUUUCUUGAUUUGCUAUAAGAAUGCUGUUGGGUUUCCACUCAACAUUUUUUUCUUUUGUAUCCAGAGGAGUUUCUUCCUGUUUCUUCUUUAUCAGAACCUGUCUUCCCAGAGAUUCUUGCUUACUGACCAGUGACCUUACCUUUCUCUGCAGACGCCUUCUGGCAAGAGGGGAGAGCCUCUGGAACAGUGUACAGUGGGGAGGAGAAGCUCACUGAGCUCCUUGUGAAGGCUUAUGGAGAUUUUGCAUGGAGUAACCCCCUGCAUCCAGAUAUCUUCCCAGGACUACGCAAGAUAGAGGCAGAAAUUGUGAGGAUAGCUUGUUCCCUGUUCAAUGGGGGACCAGAUUCGUGUGGAUGUGUGACUUCUGGGGGAACAGAAAGCAUACUGAUGGC